rnacentral:rRNA from 1 species
GACGAACGCUGGCGGCGUGCUUAACACAUGCAAGUCGAACGGAAAGGCCCCCAUCUUGGUGGGGGUGCUCGAGUGGCGAACGGGUGAGUAACACGUGGGUGAUCUGCCCUGUACUUCGGGAUAAGCUUGGGAAACUGGGUCUAAUACCGGAUAGGACCAUGGUUUAGUGUCUCAUGGUGGAAAGAUUAUUGUUUUGGUGCAGGAUGAGCUCGCGGCCUAUCAGCCUGUUGGUGGGGUAAUGGCCUACCAAGGCGUCGACGGGUAGCCGGCCUGAGAGGGUGGACGGCCACAUUGGGACUGAGAUACGGCCCAGACUCCUACGGGAGGCAGCAGUGGGGAAUAUUGCACAAUGGGCGCAAGCCUGAUGCAGCGACGCCGCGUGGGGGAUGACGGCCGUCGGGUUGUAAACUCCUUUCGUUAGGGACGAAGCCGCACUUUUUUUGGGUGUGGUGACGGUACCUUUGUGAAGAAGCACCGGCUAACUACGUG